rnacentral:rRNA from 1 species
GGAGUUAUUAUAAUUUUAAGUUAAAACUACGCGAAAAUAGUUGAGCUAAAUAUUUAUAAUUAUUAGAUUAUUGUAUGUAGCAUAAUAUAAAUAAAUGAAUAUUUAGGGGUGAUAGGCCUUUCAAAACUAUAGAUAUCUCGAUUCUUUAGAAAAACAUUUAGUGUAAUAUCAGCUAAGAAGUGACAAGGCUUCGUAGUUACAUAAAUAUUUAUUUAAAGUAAUAAUCUUGACUUAAUCGUUAGAUUCUUAGAAAUAAAAUAUUUUUUUAAAAUAUGUUAUGAUUUUUAAAAAGAAACAUUUAAAUUAUAUUUAAAAGUUUAAAAUGUAACUAUAAGUAAUUAAAAUAAGUGUGAAAAAUGAACUCGGCAAUUAAGCUCUUCAACUGUUUACCAAAAACAUAGCUAUGUGAAAUUAUUCAUAGUAAUUUCUGCUCAAUGAUAAUUUAAAUAGCCGCAGUACCCUGACUGUGCAAAGGUAGCGUAAUAAUUUGACUUAUAAUUGAAGUCCAGUAUGAAUGAAAUCUUGGAGAGCAUCUUUAUUUUUUAUAGGUUUUGAAAUUAUUAAUUAAGUGCAAAUUCUUAUAUUUAAAUGAUAGACGAGAAGACCCUUGAAAUUUUUAUUAAACUGUAUAGGUUUGUUUUUGUUGGGGCAACAAAGUAACAUAAAAUUUACUAUGAUCUACAAGAACAUAUUAUGUGAUAGAAUAAAUUACUCUAGGGAUAACAGCGUAAUUCUAAAGAGUUUGCGACCUCGAUGUUGGACUAGGAAACUAAUGCUUAGAAAGCAUAAUGUUAGGCUCUGUUCGAGCUU